GCACGUGAACCCGUGAGCAUCCGUUCACAGUCAGGGCCCUCCGUGUGACUCCCUUUCCCUGUGUUCCCUGGCCCUGUGGCCGGCUGGCUUUCUUGGGUGCUUAUUCCUAAGAACUAAGCCACUUUCUCAGAGUCGGGACGCCGGACCAGCCCUCCUGCCGUCUGUGCAGUGCAGUGAGCUGGUGUUCAAGGUGAGUGGGACCUUCUAAAGCAGCCCUGUACUCACGAAUGCUUUAAACUCUGGGGGGGAAGACCGCCCACCCAGGGUCCCUGUGUGCCUCCUGCCGCCGACGUCACCUUUCCAAAGUGUGUGUUCCUCGGAGUAAAUGUGAAGAAUCGUGCUUUUUUUUAACUUUUGCUCUAGAGAUUCUAAGUAUCCAGUCCUUUGAGAGGAACCAUUUUAGCAACGGUUUCGUGACAGAGAAGCUCGAGGGGCGCCCUGCGGCCCCAGGAAUAGGGAGAAACACUUUCGUGGCACCACCUACCUGUCUUUGACGUGUUCUGGCCUGUGACCCUCUGUUACCCAAGUGGGGGCGGGGGGGGGGGGGGGGGGCCCGGUUCUUGCCCUUGGUUGACCACCCUGCUUGUAGGGUUCUUCGGGGAACCCCAUUACUUCAUCCACUUCACCAAGGAGUGACGCUAGGAAGCUGCUCUGAUACCGUGAGGAAACCGCAUCCGGAAACCAGGUUGAGCCCGGUGGGGUUUGAGCGGUAUUUCCGUGUAAGUUCGAGACUUCCCUGGCGAGAGCCGGACUCCGUCCAGUCCCUCGCCCUGGCCGCUGCGUGCCCUUGUGCCCUGGGCGCCUGCUGGGGGCGGGGCUGGCGAGGAAGGACGUUGAGAGCGUAACCCUCUGAGGGACAGUGAGGAGCCCGGCCUGGGGCUCAGGGGAUGGGGGUCGGGGGGGCGUGGGAACAGCACCCCUCACUGUGGCUUCUGUCAAGAAGACAAAAGGAGUUGAUAAAAAUCGUGUAUUGAAAGUAGGUGGAGGGAGGACUGCUCAUCCCGGUGCUGACGACACUGUCAUUUGUCUGAUUAGCAACAGAAGAAAAUCUCCGAUUUUAAAGAGCACAACGGUUUAUAAGCUGAGUCAGGAAAAGACAGAAGCCUCGGAAGACUCUUCCUUGAGGCAAAACAAAGUUGGUUCGCUGCACCGCAUUAUAAUCAGCCACUACAGGCUCUGCCCCCCACAGUCUGGAAGUCUUUUAGCCCCAAAAAAGAAGGGAGGAAAGAGAGCUGGGGGUCACAGGAAGGCAGUGAAAGGUCACUCAGGUGCAGGGACAGGUGGUGCGUUUCCUGAGGACAAAGAGGAUGUAUCACGAAACAAGACAUUCACCCACAGCGUUCUGCUCCCUAAACCGACCUCCUGGGGAAGAAGACGUUCUAUCACGGGUCUCGGCUCUGACCGAGAGCAGGGGACGGCCCGGCCCUUGCGCACAGCGCGUCGUGGCUCUGCAGACGGCCCGCCUGUGGUUCCACGCUUACAGGGUCUCUCUGGCAGCCUCCUGGGCGGCUCCUCCGUUCACUCACUCCUUCCUUCCAGAAACACUCACUGACUCCUCGCUGUGCGCUUACGCCCGUUACCUUAUUUAAUCCCGGCAGCGCCACGGAGCACACGCUGUCGUCGUCGCCACCCCCGUGUUGUGGAUGAGGAAACACGGCAAGGGAGUCUCAGAGCCUCGUCCUGCGGGCCAGACCCAGAGUGCAGGCUUGGUGUGUGCCCGGUCCCUAGCCAUUUUGCUGUGCUUCCUCCUUAGGAGUCACAGGGCGGGGACGGAAUUCAUGUAGGGAAACCACAAUAACCUGUUCAUGUGGCGGAGAAAUUAUUCAGCAUUCGAAAUUGAAAAAAAUGUAUGUGGAUAAUCUGUAUAGAUAACUGGUGUCUUUACAAUGAUAAUUAAUGAAGAAGUGCAAGAUCCCAGAAUAUUCUUUAAAUUGUCAAGAUAAGUUAAAAUCCCACGUAGUUUAGUAUGACGCAUAUUCAUUCCUUCUUUGGAGUUUUAUUUAUCAAAGCCGGCCAGAUUGCAAAGGCCUAUAAAAUAUGCAUAAGAUAGGAGAUACUACAUACUAAGAUACCAGAGCAGAAGGGAAAUUGAUGGUUGAAUGGUCAGAAACGAAGAGGCAUUAGAGCCUAGGGGAUCACGUUUUAGGCGGGAGCCAUACACUUGAACCUGGCGUUCCUGGUAGCCAGCGCAAAAAGGACACGAUACGGAUUAUGGAAUAAAACCACACCAGUGCCCUUCUGUGCUGCUCCUCUGCUCUGACUCAGAAGUAGGUGUUCCAGAGAAUUCUCUAAUUUCCCUGACUUCGCCUCCUUACCUCCCAUUUACCCUUCCCCACCCAUUUUAGGUGUUUUCCUUUCUCCUACUUUCUGUUCAUCAAAACAAUACAUCUUUUUUUUUUUUUUUUUUUUUUUUUAGUGCCAAAAGGUACUGAGUGAGGCCUCUUACUCCACUGGCCACACUUUAAACUCACUCUUCGCCCUUUGUUUUACUAGCUGCUUUGUACACCUAAGUAACCUGCUCUGUUGCUGCUUCUUGAUGUGUAUAUUGGGUUCUGAUGAAUCUAUUACGACAUGAAGAUUUAUUCUCUUAUAAACCACCUUCACUCCUCGCUGUUCUCAUGUCACUGUAGUUAAGACUACAGAUCUCGUUUACUGUUGCCUGCAUGACUAACAAGGCUGAGCAUCCUCUAACAUGUUUGCCAUUUGGAUUUCGUGUGUGUGUGUGUGUGUGUGUGUGCGCACGCGCGCGUGCAUGUGUGUCAGUGGACAUAAAACAUGCUUGAGCAAACCUUUUGACUAUUUUUUCAUUGGGUUUUUCCUUUAUGAUUUAUUUGUAAUAGAUCUUUUUAUGUUCUAAACAGAAGUUUUUAGUCAACUACAUGGUUACUAAUGUUUUCUUGCUCCCAUUGUGUGACUUAUCUUGUCAUUCUCUUUAUAGUUUAUUUUAAUUAACAGGAGGUAUUAACAGUUAAUCAAAUUUAUCACUUUCCCUUUAUGGUUAGUUCUUUGGUGUGUAUCUUGUUAAAGAAAUAUUUUCCAACCCUGAGGUCAGGAUGAUAAUCUGUGUUAUCUUCUGAACACUUGAUAGUUUUACCUUCUCUGUUUAGGUCUGUAAUUCCCUUAGAGUUGAUUUUUGUGUAUAGUGUGAGUUAGGGGUCUAUUUCUAUAUUUUUCCAUAUGGACACACAAUUGUCCGAGCCCAAGUUCCUGAAAAGAACAUGCGUUGUUAGCUGUAGUGCCCUCUUUAUCACAAGUAUAUAAAUAUGUGUGGGUCUGUAUUUGGACUCUGUUUUCUUUUCCAUUGAUCUCUUUGUCGUCCUUACUCUUUAAGUGUCGCUUUCUAACAUGUCUUGAUGUUAGUUGAGUCAAAUCUUCAACUGGUCUCUUCUUUUUAAAAAGUGUUAUGGCUAUUUUUGGUCACUUGUAUUUUACAUAAAAGUUUACAUACAAGAACCAGCUUGUCAAAUUGUACACAUGUGGUUACAUGUUUAUGUACACCUACAUGUACAUACACACAUGAAAUCAACCAAAAAAAAAAAAAAAAAAAAACCAAUUUAACCAACAAAAAUUUAAAUCCGCACAUUGAGUUCUUCAUUGAAGUUGCAUUGACUAAAGUCCAUUUGGUGAGAAUUGACAUCUAAACAAUACUGGAUGGAUCUUCCAGUCCAUGAGUAUGGCAUAUCUGUCCAUUUAUUUAGGAUUCUUAAUUUUAAGCUUUUAUCCUUUUCUAUGUAUUUUUGUAGCUCCAUUGCAUGGAUUUGGGUGUAUGUUAUUUUUGUUACCAUACAUUUAAAGUGUUUCCUAAGUUCUGUCAUGGUUUCUUUUUUGACCCCUGGAUUAUUUAGAAAUGCAUUUCUUAAUUUCCAAACAAAUUGAAAAUUUCUAGUUCUCUUUUGGAGCUUGAUUUCUAGCAUAAAUGUGUUGUGAUCAACGAGCACAUACUUUUCUGUCCUGUGAAAUUUAUUGAGACUGCCUUUAUGACCCAGUAUAUGGUACUUUUUUGCAGCUGUUCUAUGUGUGCUUGAAAAGAACAUUUAUUCUCCAGUAGUGGGAAGCAGCAUUUUAUCCAUGUGUAUUAGGUGAAGUUUGUGAAAAUUUUAUAUUUUUACUGAUACAUUUGUCUCCUUUGGUUUAUCAGUUACAUAGAGUCUUAAAAUACCCUUCUGUGAUUAUAGAUUUGUCUUAUUUCUUCACUUAGUUGCAUAAAUUUUUCCUUUGUAUGUUUUGAGGCAGUGUUAUUAGAUAAAGGUGUAUGACAGGCCUUGAGAAAUGUUCCUGUUGUCAGUAUAAAUUGAACCCCUUUAAAACUCUAAAAUUAUUUGUUACCUGAUAUUAAUAUAGCUCCUCUAACUUGCUUUUGGUUGCUAUUUACAUGGUAUAACAUUUUCAACUCUUUUAUUUUCAACUUGUCUGUGUCAGAGGUGCUUCUUGUGAACACCAUGUAGUUGGGUUUUUUUUCCCCUUAAUCUAGUUUGACAGUCUCUGUCUUUCAGCUGCUGCAUUUAGCCCAUUUAUAUUUAAUAUAAUGUAAAUGCUGACCUAUUUGUAUUGAAGCUUCUCUGUCCUUCCUAUUUUAUUUUCUUUUUCUCUCUUUCUUGCUUUCUUUUGGAUUAUUUUGUAUAAUUCAGUUUUUAUCGUUUUCUCAUUUAAAUGCUCUCUGUUCUUUUUUUCUAUUCUGUUAAUAGUUUCCUGGGAAAAUUACAACAGGCACCCCUAACCCCCUUCCCGGAUUAUACAGGACCAUUUUGGCACCCCCAACUUACAUGCUGCUGUUGUUGUUAUAGACUUUAAUUCUGUUUUCAAACCCCUAAUGUCAGUGUUCACUUAGAUCUAUCCACAUAUUUACUACUUUGCCUGCCCUUCACUCCUUGUAUCUCUUGUUUGUCCAGCUGGGAUCGUCUUCCUUCUGCCUGAGGUCUUUUUAGAAUUUCCUUUAAAGUGGGGCCAUUGGUGGGGAACUAGUUGAGUUUGUUUGAAAAUGUAUGCCUGACGCCACCAUUUUAUUGGGAAAGCCGCAGGAUCUCUACAUUUUAAUUUUAAUGCGUACGUACGGUCACCUAAUCCCACCAUCUCCCGCGUGGUGUCUGCGCCCUCCACCCUAUCUGGUGCCCUCCGUGCCAGAGCGUCUCUGUCUUAUCCUUGGUGUUGAGCUGAUGAAUCUUCCAGUCUUGUGUUGAGAUAGAGAAAGGGGGUCUAGGGGUACACGUACGUGUUAAAUGUGCAAACAGGCCUUCUAUUUUAAUUUUCACCUUUACCUUCUGAAGAGAUCCAUGUGGUCACCAGCAUCUGAGCUGUGAGGGAUUCUGCAGGGCGUAGUGUUUCCCUGCCGUUCAGGACCAGCUUUCUUGGGUUUGCUGAGGUGGGUGCUAGAGCCCCUUACCCAGCCGUAAGCCAGUGCCCUGUUACUUCUUUUCUGUCUGCUUUUUAGCAUCUAACAUUCUUUUUGCGCUUGAGAGUUUGUGUCUUUAUUUUAAGAAAUCCAGUGGCUCUUCAAAAGGGGUGUAGAUCGGUGAGUGGGCUCCUGAGCCUCAUCAUUUGCUUACUGUCGCCAGCCAUUACCGUGUGCCAGAACCAGUGGUGCUCUGUUGUUCUUACCAUUUUAAAACUCAGUUCGGCAGAAUUAAUCCGUCGCCUGUAACAUACUGCCUCUUUCUUGGCCCUCACGAUAGCACCUUCUGUAGGUUUUCCUCAGGUCUUUCUGGAUCCUUCUUCUCUGGCUCCUUUGUUGCUUCCUCUUCCAUGCAGUGUUUGCCCGUUGGAGCCCUGCUGGAGCCCUGCUGGACAUUCCAGAACCCGGGGGUGCUCGCCUCACCCUGCCUCUUCUCCCUAAGGAGUCCCACCCGUUUCUUCCUUUAUUCAUUCCGUGUUUAGUGAACGUUCUUCACAUGCCAGACACUCUCCGGGCCCACGGAAUGACAGCGAAUCCUGUAGGGAGGCUGUGGCGGCCGGUCUUCCAGGCAAGAGGGGAUGGUGGCUUGGGCCAGUCCGUCCGGUCACCGUGGAGAUGGGGAGACAGAGUUGCAUUCUGGGUAUUCUCAGGGUUUCAAAUACCUGUUCACCCGUGGCUCCCAGAUUCAGUCUGUAGACAGAGCUCUCUCAUCUGCUGUGGCACCGUCCCGUUCACGCUCUCCUCACCCCGGCCUGGGUCAGCGGUGGCUUCCUGACUCCUGUUCCCCUCCUUCCCUCGGGGUGUCCGGGAAACACGGACUCCCCAGCCAUUCCGUGAGACCUCGCAAAACAACAUAGGAUCCUUCCUCUCUGCCUCUGGACUCUCCCUGCCCCCACACCGUCUGUCCCAAACACGCUCCGUUGACAGAACCCCCAAGACUGCCCACCGUGCUCGGAACAACCCGGAGUCCCCAGCACAGCCUGAGGGGCCCCGUCUGAUCUCGCCGCUGCCUCCUCUUGCACUUUUGUCCGGAGCUGUUCUCCCCGCCGCGGCACUCCCCCCACACGCUUUCUUACUGUGGCUCACGUGCGCCUCAUGGUCACCGCAGGUAGUCACCUGCACCGACCUCUCACCUGAACUGCUCUCCCCGGGGCCAGCCUUCCGCGUGCUGGGUGCUCGGCUCCCGCGGUCUCUUCCUCAGCCAGAGGUCGCUGGAGCCCGGCCGGGUCCGGUCACCCCUCCUGUAACCUGCCGUGUCUGCUCAUCGCAGUGUGCCACCAAAUACUUGUGCGUUUACGUCUCAGUUGCCCUCUGGGCCAAGUGCUGUGAGGACAGGGACCGUUUUUUUCUGUUGUUCACCCCGGUACAAUCUGCCACUGUCUGGCACCUAGUAAAUGUCCAGUAAACACUUCUUAGACACACAGACGUGUGGGUACAACACUGAACAAAUAGCAGCCUGGCGAGAGGCGUGUGUGUGUGUAUUUGGUGGGAACAGGGGCGGUUGGCAGCACACGAAAAAUUGCUCCUGUGGGUUCUGUGAUUCUUCGUGAAUUAAGUAAAGUCUGCUCGGCAGUGACGGUGUUUCAGAUUUGUUUCGUUUAACCCCCUCUUCUAAUUAACACCAGCCAAGUUUUUACAGAACUUUAAUUUCAGUAUUUUGUGUUAAAAAUCAGUAGAUAUUUUGGGUAUGUUUAGACGAGGAAUCGUGCUGAUAACAAUCUCUCCAUUCUCUGAUCACUCAGGGUCAGCCGCCGUGCACAUGUACUUAACCAUGCUCUGUGGGAUGGGGGCUGAGGCCUCGUGACGCCGUGGGGAGCAGUCCUCGGUCCCCAAAGGAGAUCAGUGCGGGGGACCCUGUGAGACUGCCACUUUCUUGGCCACCCUUGGGGAUUAGGAACUUCAGGCUGGCUCUCCUAUCAGAGCCGCUGAGGGCCGCCGCCCCUGCCCCCAGGCUAGGAACGAGGCCCGAGGCGCCAUUUCUUGGAGGUAGAUUCUAGAAACCAGCGGGGAUUUCCAGUCUCAGGGAGAGGGCAGCAUGUCAAAGGGGCGCUUCACUGGGAAGACCUGCCCUCCACAGCUGCUCCAGGGCCACGAGCCCAGCCAGGCCCCAGCUGUUCACUCACCCGCUCGCUUGUGGGUCACCCACAGUAAUGACACGGUAGCUGAGGCCAUCGGAAAAUUCCAGCCCCACCACCACAGGGUCAGUUCCUUGUUUGUCAGUUUAUUGUGGCAAGUGGGAUUUUUGUUGUUGUUGCUUCCAAAUAGAAACCACUGAGCUUUAUUUGAAAUGUUUUCCUUUUAUUCUUUUUUGAUCUGUGUUUUCAUCAGCUGUCCUUGAUGUGGGCUGAUUUGUUUUGUUUUGUUUUUAUUGGAGGGGGUGGGGACAGGCAUAGAGAAUCCAAACAGGAGUUUUUUUCUGUUCUUCUCUCUUUUUUCCCUUCCUUUCUCUUUCUCUCUCUCUCUCUUUCUCUCUCUCUUUCUCUCUAACACUGAAACACCUCAUUUGUAAGUUUCCUUGCGUACAGAAAUGUAGCAAGUAGUUUACAGAAAUAUUAAACAAACUGUGUUUUCCCCUGUGACCUGACCCGUGUCGAGGAGGUGUGGCCCGGGGCAAGAGUGGCAGCCGCUGGGUCCAACACCCGCACCCCACCCCUCCUAGUUUGUAAGCACUGCAUUUACUUUCUUUGGCCUUAAGCUCCUUUGCUUAUAAAACAGGCCCUACUCCUAUCCUCACAGGAUCGUGAUGGAUGAUCUCAUGGUUUAUGGGUUCAAGCCCUGCAUCGGGCUCUGUGCUGACAGUGUGGAGCCUGCGUGGGAUUCUCUGUCUGUCUCUCUGCCCAUCCCCCAGUUGUGCUCUCUCGCUCUCGCGCGCGCUCUCUCUCUCUCACGCUCUCUCAAAAUAAACUUUAAAAUGUAUAUAUUUAAAAACAAAACGAACAGGAGACUCAUGGCAUUUCAGAAAAGAAGAAAUCCAAAUGGCCAGCACACCUGGGGAAAGAGCUCAGUGUCAUCAGUCAGGGAAAUGCACAAUUAACCCACAGUGAGAAACCCACCGGAAUGGCUAAUGGCGAGGGCCGACAGCAUGAAGUGAUGGCAAGGGUGUAGAGCAGCAACCUGAACCUCCGAGCCUUGCUGGGGAAGACGUAGAUUGGAGUAACCCCUUUGCAAACGUUCUGGCCGCGUCUCCUAACACAACGCACACACCCGGCCUGCGAGCCAGCGGUGCCCUUCCCGGCACCUUCCCCCGAGGGGAGUGCACGCGUGUGUCUUCCAGGCGUGCAAGAGCCUUCACAGCAGAGCCAUUGAUAAUAACCCCAAGGUGGGAGCAUCCCGGGACUCAUCCGUGGUAGAAGGGAUAAAUGAACGGUGGCCUGUUCCUACCAUGUGUGCAGGUGGGAGGGUGGGUAUUACUAGGGAAGGGGCACGCGGGGGCCCUCCGGGAUGGGGUGCGGGCGCGUCCUUAGUCUCGGUGUAGGUGGAGUCACGGGGACACAUCCACGUGAGGAAACCCCUCAAGACGUGCCCUCGGAUGUGUGUGUUCUGUUGCGCCACGCACAAGUUUUUUAAAUCACCUUUUGGGUUCUUCCCGCGUGCCACGUCCUGUUCCGGCCCCUUCACUGGGGCUAAGACCACCCGCUUCAUUGGGAACGUUUAUUUCCAUUUCCCGCCGAGAACGCUAAAGCCCAGGCAGCUGGUUCCUUGACGCCGGCCGCUCCAGAUUCGCCCAGCGCGGGAGGGGCAGGGCCAGGGUGCAGGCCCAGGUGUGUCUGACUGUAAGGCCCGUGCUUCGUCCGAAUUCAGGGGUCUAGACUUGCCCGUGCGUGCUCGCUUCGCUCCGUCACGGCGUUCCUUUCAGGCGUACUUUCUCCGGGACACGUGGGUAAUCCGCUGCGUUGGGUAUGAAAUCUUGGACCGAUCUUGCCGAACGUGUAGCACGUGGUACCCGCUCAGCGCUCUGUUGCAACCGUGCAUGAUCAAGAUGCACCCCUGAGCCUGGAGAUGGACCCCCCUUCCCGUUUCCCCUCCCUCCUCCUCUGGAACUCUAGACCUGGGUGUCUUCCUCUCUGGGAUCCUUCCGUGACCCCCGGGACCAAGCAGAGCGCGCCAGCGCGUCUUUAUGGGUCAGUUGCGCUCCGCGUCCCCGUGAGCACACCGCACGGACGUACCCGCAUAUGUAACCCCUUCCCUCGAGGACAACUUACCCCGGGUGGGAUCUGUGUCCCCGUGCGUUUACACCUCGGGGCACGCUCCACACUGGACCCCACGGAUCCAAGGGAGCGUUACCAGAGUGUGUUCCAAAGCACAGAGUUUUAUGUGGUGUCUUGAACGGCUAUUACUUGAGGGAAGGCUUCUAAACUGUAUGUCCGUACCUGCAUAUCUGUGCGCACACGCACGCACACGCACGAACUGUGCUGCCCAAGCCUGUCUCCAGCAGGACUGCGUGGAGUCCUUACCGUUCUUAUGUGCAUUUUGGAGACUCUGGACUCUUAAGUGCCACAUCCUGGGAAAUGAUGGAAAUAUAUUCCAUUCUGUCCUUCUUAUUUAUUAUUUUAUUUUCAUUUUAGAGGGGGAGGGGCAGAGAGGGACUCUUAAGCAGGCUCCGUGCUCCGCGCGGAGCCCGAGGUGAGGCUCAGUCUCACGACCCUGGCGUCGUGACCUGAGCCGAAAUCAAGAGUCCGACGCUCAACCGACUGAGCCACCCAGGCGCCCCAGCUCCGUACUUACUGGGGAGUCCAGGCUUGUGACUGGACCUGCCACGCAGCAGCCAGAGGGGGGCCGUUCAGAGAAGUGUCUGAAAUACUUCGGGAGGGCACGAGGGGCUAGAGUUGGUGGGGUCCGUGCGCUUCCACGCCAAAGGAGUGCUGGCGCCGUGUUCACAGAACGGUGCCUUUCUGCUGUCAAUACCCUACACUGCCCACCCGGACGUUCAGUGCAGCGAACGGCUAGGAAGUCGUUCUGAGGGAAAGCUGUCCCUCCUCUUUCUGGAGGGAAAGAGCCAUUUAUUUUUUAUUUACUUGUGUAUUUCUGAGUCCCCAGCAUGAAAUAGCUGAUAAACGGUGAUUAUUUGUUCUGUUCCUUUAAUGCUGUUUUUAGUUGAAAAAGAUAAACUUUUGGUUUAGCUGGCCAGUGAUUUAAUUUGGUUUUGUAAAGCCCCUCGCUGAUUGUCUUGCCUCUCACCUAGUGCGUUUGAAGAUGUACAGACCCAACAUUUCUCCCCGACCAGAGCAAACAAGUCUGUACACACACAGCUUUGCAGGUCAGGGGAGGCCUCCCCGGGGCCCCGUGUGACGUGAGCCAAGCACGGGCCGAGGACCGGACAAUGUGCGGGUGCCGCUCCCAGGCUGCUAAGAGUGUGACACGCUGCCACCAGCCCCCCGACACACACACACACACACACACACACACACACACGGAUGCAUCUAAAUGGCACCAUUCACAGUGAAAGGGGAAAGAAGCCCUGUUUGUGUGGCUUUUAUGGCAUCCUAGCAACCAGUUCCCCAGGGCCUGAAGCCGAUGGCGGGAGGAGUCCGCGUCCUGUAAUAAAUGAGGCUUUCACAAAAGUGGACCGCUUCCUGGUUCAGGUGUCGUGGCAAGUAGACCAUUUUUAAGUGAGACGCACACACUUGGAGUUGCGCUCCUUCGGGUGGCCCCUGCUUCGCGGUUUUCCCGCGUCUCUGAAACAGAGGCUACAAAUGAGGAGCAUCGUCAGCGCGCAGAUUCUGCGUCCCGCAGGCUGAGGCACAGAAAGUGGUUCUCCCCGAGGGCGCCCAGAGGUGACAGAGGUGAGAACACGCCGGGGGGCACGCGCCGCCCACGCCUGUCCUCAGGCUGUGUCUCACCGAGCCUGGUUGCUCAGCCGUUCCCAUCUCAGAGGUCAGGAUGCACCAGGGUUGGCUGUACCUCGUUGACUCACAAAGAGCAAGAUUGCCUGGGGUCGCCUGGGGGACUCCGUCGUUAAGCCUCUGACUUCAGCUCAGGUCGCGAUCUCGCUGUCCGUGAGUUCGAGCCCCGCGUCCGGCUCUGUGCCGACGGCUCGGAGCCUGGAGCCUGCCUCGGAUCCUGUGUCUCCCUCUCCCUCUGGCCCUUCCCCUCUCGAGCUCGCUCUCUCUCUGUCUCUCAAA